rnacentral:tRNA from 1 species
GCCGGCGUAGCUCAAUUGGCAGAGCAACUGUUUUGUAAACAGUAGGUUGCGGGUUCGAUUCCUGUCGCCGGCUCCA